CCUACGGGAGGCAGCAGUGAGGAAUAUUGGUCAAUGGCCGGAAGGCUGAACCAGCCAAGUCGCGUGAGGGACGACUGCCCUAUGGGUUGUAAACCUCUUUUAUAAGGGCAGAAUAAAUGCUACGUGUAGCCUGAUGCCUGUACCUUAUGAAUAAGCAUCGGCUAACUCCGUGCCAGCAGCCGCGGUAAUACGGAGGAUGCGAGCGUUAUCCGGAUUUAUUGGUUUUAAAGGGUGCGUAGGCGGUUUUUUAAGUUAGUGGUUAAACGUCGGGGCUUCACCUUGAUUUGCCAUUAAUACUGUAAGACUCGAGUUCAGACUAGGUAGGCGGAAUAAGUUAAGUAGCGGGGAAAUGCUUAGAUAUAACUUAGAACUCCGAUAGCGAAGGCAGCUUACCAGACUGCGACUGACGCUGAAGCACGAGAGCGUGGGUAGCGAACAGGAUUAGAUACCCCAGUAGUC
rnacentral:rRNA from 1 species